AGAGUUUGAUCCUGGCUCAGGUUGAACGCUGGCGGCAGGCCUAACACAUGCAAGUCGAGCGGAUGAAGGGAGCUUGCUCCUGGAUUCAGCGGCGGACGGGUGAGUAAUGCCUAGGAAUCUGCCUGGUAGUGGGGGAUAACGUCCGGAAACGGGCGCUAAUACCGCAUACGUCCUGAGGGAGAAAGUGGGGGAUCUUCGGACCUCACGCUAUCAGAUGAGCCUAGGUCGGAUUAGCUAGUUGGUGGGGUAAAGGCCUACCAAGGCGACGAUCCGUAACUGGUCUGAGAGGAUGAUCAGUCACACUGGAACUGAGACACGGUCCAGACUCCUACGGGAGGCAGCAGUGGGGAAUAUUGGACAAUGGGCGAAAGCCUGAUCCAGCCAUGCCGCGUGUGUGAAGAAGGUCUUCGGAUUGUAAAGCACUUUAAGUUGGGAGGAAGGGCAGUAAGUUAAUACCUUGCUGUUUUGACGUUACCAACAGAAUAAGCACCGGCUAACUUCGUGCCAGCAGCCGCGGUAAUACGAAGGGUGCAAGCGUUAAUCGGAAUUACUGGGCGUAAAGCGCGCGUAGGUGGUUCAGCAAGUUGGAUGUGAAAUCCCCGGGCUCAACCUGGGAACUGCAUCCAAAACUACUGAGCUAGAGUACGGUAGAGGGUGGUGGAAUUUCCUGUGUAGCGGUGAAAUGCGUAGAUAUAGGAAGGAACACCAGUGGCGAAGGCGACCACCUGGACUGAUACUGACACUGAGGUGCGAAAGCGUGGGGAGCAAACAGGAUUAGAUACCCUGGUAGUCCACGCCGUA
rnacentral:rRNA from 1 species